UUUGGGCCAAACUGUUCCUUGCUGCCUUUUGGAAGACAGAUUUCCAAAAAUCGACAGCCGGCGCCUGGAGUUUCCUAUUGAUAUCAGGUGUCAUUAAAACAUACAACCUGCCAAUGGCGUACAAUCUUGACCUUGGACAAGUCACACUCUCUCAGCCUCACAAGGGAAGGCAAUGGCAAACCACUUGUGAACAAACCCAGAAAACCCCGGGAGUUGGAAAUGACUUGAAGGCACACGACACACACAAACGUGAAAAGGCUUUCUCCUUGGAGGAAGAGGACAAAAGGAAAAGGAGAGACUUUCCCUUGGUGAGGCUGGCAUCGCAGGGCCGCCACUGUGAGUGUUUCUCUGGCAGUGUCUUAGCUGGUUGUUGUGCGCAGUGAUCGAGGAAGCAAUCAGCAAGAAUACUGCCCCAGAAGUGCUGCACGCUCCCAGGCUGGCAGAAGAAGCCUUCCCUCUGUGGAAAUAAAGCACCCAGAAACGGGGUGCAAGCUGCGUUCCUCUUCUUUGGCGCCCGCCAUGGACAAAUAGGACUUCGUAAGGUACGGGAAAUGGUGCCAUGGAGGUCCUGCGCCUCUGGGAAGGGUUGCCCCUGCCUUCUUCUGAGACUGAGAGUGUGCGACUUGCCCAAGACCAUAAGGUACAGAAAAAGGCGUUUGGAAAUGUAUUGACCCUCGACGUUUGUGGAUUUGAUCAUUCAAGAUUUGAUUAAUAUGUUCUCUCUAAGGAUCUCUAGGUCCUUCAGCGGAGUCACACUGGAAGACCUAGAGAUACCCAGAGGAAACACUUCUCUAGGCAUUCGUAGGUCCUCCAGCAUGAGUCUAUGGUCAACAUUUGGUGGAUGGAGACCAUAGAGGACCUAGAAAGUCCCAGAUAAAACACUUCCCUAGGCAUUCGUAGGCCCUCCAGCAUGAGUCUAUGGUCAACGUCUGGUGGGGCUUUUUGGCAGCCCUUCCCCGACUUACUUGGGUGCAUUUGAAACACAUGCAAACAACAAAGAUGCAACCCGACUUCUACCAGGAUUAUUUUCUCCAUCUGAAUAAAUACAGUGGUCCAUCCACAUUCACUGGGGUUAGGAUGAAGGACCCCUGUGAAUGUGGCAAAAACACAAAUAAAAACGACAACACUAUUCUUUUCGUCUAAAAGAAGGCCGCUCUAGGAACCUCCAGGUCCUCCGGUGCAAUUCUGUGGUCA